rnacentral:rRNA from 1 species
UACGGAGGGUGCAAGCGUUAUCCGGAUUCACUGGGUUUAAAGGGUGCGUAGGUGGGCAGGUAAGUCAGUGGUGAAAUCUCCGGGCUUAACUCGGAAACUGCCAUUGAUACUAUCAGUCUUGAAUACCGUGGAGGUAAGCGGAAUAUGUCAUGUAGCGGUGAAAUGCUUAGAUAUGACAUAGAACACCAAUUGCGAAGGCAGCUUACUACCCGAAUAUUGACACUGAGGCACGAAAGCGUGGGGAUCAAACAGGA